rnacentral:rRNA from 1 species
UACGGGGGGGGCAAGCGUUGUUCGGAAUUACUGGGCGUAAAGGGCUCGCAGGUGGCCAACUAAGUCAGACGUGAAAUCCCUCGGCUUAACCGGGGAACUGCGUCUGAUACUGGAUGGCUAGAGUUUGGGAGAGGGAUGCGGAAUUCCAGGUGUAGCGGUGAAAUGCGUAGAUAUCUGGAGGAACACCGGUGGCGAAGGCGGCAUCCUGGACCAACACUGACGCUGAGGCGCGACAGCGUGGGGAGCAAACAGG